AGUGAAUGCUGGCGGUAGGCCUAACACAUGCAAGUCGAACGGCAGCACAGUAAGAGCUUGCUCUUACGGGUGGCGAGUGGCGGACGGGUGAGGAAUACAUCGGAAUCUACUUUUUCGUGGGGGAUAACGUAGGGAAACUUACGCUAAUACCGCAUACGACCUACGGGUGAAAGCAGGGGAUCUUCGGACCUUGCGCGAUUGAAUGAGCCGAUGUCGGAUUAGCUAGUUGGCGGGGUAAAUGCCCACCAAGGCGACGAUCCGUAGCUGGUCUGAGAGGAUGAUCAGCCACACUGGAACUGAGACACGGUCCAGACUCCUACGGGAGGCAGCAGUGGGGAAUAUUGGACAAUGGGCGCAAGCCUGAUCCAGCCAUACCGCGUGGGUGAAGAAGGCCUUCGGGUUGUAAAGCCCUUUUGUUGGGAAAGAAAAGCAGCAGGUUAAUACCCCGCUGUUCUGACGGUACCCAAAGAAUAAGCACCGGCUAACUUCGUG
rnacentral:rRNA from 1 species